UCCCGCGCCUUCAUGGAUGGAAACGUAAACAAACAGUGAAAAUCGGUGUCACGAUCGGCGUUUCUGCCAAAUACCGAUAAUACCUACUCAUAUAAUUAUUGAUCAUAGGAUUUUAACCAGAAUUUUAGAGUGGACAUCGCCGCUUUACGUUAUUAAUCGCAAGGAACUCGGCCCAGAAAUGUUCUUGACAUGAGCAAGAGAAGUCUAUGGAGUCAUUUUACCC